rnacentral:RNase_P_RNA from 1 species
UGAGUAUGCUGGGUAGCCGCGGGAACUGGCCAUCGGCGACAGUUCCUGAGGAAAGUCCGAGCUCCGCAGGGCAGGGUGCUGGAUAACGUCCAGUGGGGGCGACCCUAAGGAAAGUGCCACAGAAAUAAACCGCCCGGCACUUAUUUCACAUAGGGCUUAACAUACGCUAUUGAAAUUAAGUGUCGGGUAAGGGUGCAACGGUGCGGUAAGAGCGCACCAGCAGCCGGGAGAUCGGCUGGCUAGGCAAACCCCACCCGGAGCAAGACCAAAUAGGAGAAGGAUGAAGUUGCCCGCUGACUUCUCGGGUUAGGUCGCUGGAGGUAUUAGGCAACUAAUACCCUAGACAGAUGGCUACCACUCUUAACAGAGUACAGAACUCGGCUUAUAGGCUUGCUCAAACC